rnacentral:rRNA from 1 species
UACGUAGGUGGCAAGCGUUGUCCGGAAUUAUUGGGCGUAAAGCGCACGUAGGCGGCUUUUUAAGUCAGGGGUGAAAUCCCGGGGCUCAACCCCGGAACUGCCCUUGAAACUGGAGAGCUAGAAUCUUGGAGAGGCGAGUGGAAUUCCGAGUGUAGAGGUGAAAUUCGUAGAUAUUCGGAAGAACACCAGUGGCGAAGGCGACUCGCUGGACAAGUAUUGACGCUGAGGUGCGAAAGCGUGGGGAGCAAACAGG